rnacentral:rRNA from 1 species
CCUACGGGCGGCUGCAGUCGAGAAUCAUUCACAAUGGGGGAAACCCUGAUGGUGCGACGCCGCGUGGGGGAAUGAAGGUCUUCGGAUUGUAAACCCCUGUCAUGUGGGAGCAAAUUAAAAAGAUAGUACCACACGAGGAAGAGACGGCUAACUCUGUGCCAGCAGCCGCGGUAAUACAGAGGUCUCAAGCGUUGUUCGGAAUCACUGGGCGUAAAGCGUGCGUAGGAUGUUUCGUAAGUCGUGUGUGAAAGGCGCGGGCUCAACCCGCGGACGGCACAUGAUACUGCGAGACUAGAGUAAUGGAGGGGGAACCGGAAUGCUCGGUGUAGCAGUGAAAUGCGUAGAUAUCGAGAGGAACACUCGUGGCGAAGGCGGGUUCCUGGACAUUAACUGACGCUGAGGCACGAAGGCCAGGGGAGCGAAAGGGAUUAGAUACCCGGGUAGUC